CACACUAAUAGUUGUCAAAAAAUUUGACGCUUGAAAAUUCGGUAUAAUACUUUUUCUCGCACGACUCCGUCGAAUUGGUAAGGAAAUACGACUGACUGCAAGAAUUCAUUUGUUCAGCGAUGUUACGCUGAAAAAGGUUACUUCAGGUGACAGUGAGGACCCUCUACAAGCCAUAAAGAGUCAAAGAAGUCUUUGGACAGCGCCUUUAACCGAUAGAAGGAGCAGCAAUAAAAAAAGCCUUACAAACAGACAACUCCUCUUAACGUAUUUUGUCCUGUACCCCCAUUGUAGAACCGUUGCCCGACAAGUUUUGUCUUUAUAGUGUCGUUUUGAAUGUUGGCAUCCAGGGAAUGUCUGGAUAUUUGAAAGCACUUCAAAAACUUAAGGAGGGCUUGGUGCCGCCGUCGGAAGCAUGUUGUAUCAAAGGUCAGAAGAAAUCAGAAUUGUUACCUUAAAAAUAACUGGAAUGUCUUAUGUCCGAGGGGUCUUCCUCAAAAUGAGUUCAAGAAAAAAUUGAUACGGCGGCGGGAAAUAGGCAGGAAGUCUAUCAAUGAUACCCAGUAUCGUCGCGUUUACGGUGGUGAAAUCGUCUUUAAUCACAUAACUAUGGGUGAGGCGUGAGCGCUGCAGAUCACAGCGAAAUUGAAGAGUUUGAUAUUAAGCUUAGCAAAACACCAUGAGAAAAACCGGACGUCC